UACGGAGGAUCCGAGCGUUAUCCGGAUUUAUUGGGUUUAAAGGGUGCGCAGGCGGGAGAUUAAGUCGGCGGUGAAAUUUUGCAGCUCAACUGUAAAAGUGCCUUCGAAACUGGUUUCCUUGAGUGUAGAUGAAGUAGGCGGAAUUUGUGGUGUAGCGGUGAAAUGCAUAGAUAUCACGAGGAACUCCGAUUGCGCAGGCAGCUUACUAAACUACUACUGACGCUCAGGCACGAAGGCGUGGGGAUCAAACAUGAUUAGAUACCCU
rnacentral:rRNA from 1 species